rnacentral:lncRNA from 1 species
AGUCAUUCAAAUGGACUAAAGGUGGGGGAGAAAAAAUAAGAGUGGAUAAAAGAAAGAAAGAAAACAGAGAAAGGUGGGAAAAAAAAAACAAAGGAAGGAAGAGAGAAAAGAGAAUGAGAGGAAGAGAAGGAAGGGGAAAAACAAGAUUGACUUUACAGUAUGAGAUAUACUAUUAUAUAUUGGUAAGCAAUUGGAAAAAUAAAUAUAUGUAAAUAUAAUGGAUUAAUUAUAUUUUAAACAAUUACAUUUAAAUGUUACAUAUGUUUAAAAUUUUAGAAUUAUUAAUCUGACAUAACUGUAUAUUUCUAGGUGUUAUUUAAAUAAACAUAAAUUUGUUCCAAUUAA